AGCUUGCACAGUGGCACUAUCAUAGCCAAUGAGGUUUAUCUGAGGCACGAUUGUUGCUAAUUGAAAACUUUUCCCAAUACCCCGCCAUGACGACUUGCAAUAUAGUCAGCAUUGGCAAUUUUUGACAGUCUCUAUGGAAA
rnacentral:snRNA from 1 species